rnacentral:rRNA from 1 species
GACGAACGCUGGCGGCGUGCCUAAUGCAUGCAAGUCGAGCGGGCCUCCGGAGGUGCUUGCACCUCCGGAAGGCCAGCGGCGGACGGGUGAGUAACACGUGGGCAACCUGCCUUUGAGGCCGGGAUAACACCGGGAAACCGGUGCUAAUACCGGAUACGUCCUCUUUCGCGCCUGCGAGAGGGGAGAAAGACGGUCUUUAAGGCCGUCGCUCAAAGAGGGGCCCGCGGCGCCUUAGCUGGUUGGUGGGGUAAGGGCCUACCAAGGCGACGAUGCGUUGCCGACCUGAGAGGGUGAUCGGCCACACUGGGACUGAGACACGGCCCAGACUCCUGCGGGAGGCAGCAGUAGGGAAUCAUCCGCAAUGGGCGAAAGCCUGACGGUGCAACGCCGCGUGAGUGAGGAAGGUUUUCGGAUCGUAAGGCUCUGUUGUGAGGGAAGAACAGCUUCCGGAGGAAAUGCCGGAGGUUUGCCGGUACCUCACCAGAAAGCCCCGGCUAACUACGUGCCAGCAGCCGCGGUAAAAC